UACUCAUGAGGCUAAGGCGGGAAGAUUGCUCCAGCCUGGGCAGCACAGUGAGACCCUCUGCCUCUUCUAAAAAGGAGGAGGAGGAGGCACUAGAGCACACUGUGCUCCUAAGAACAAUCCAAUACAAGGAUAGAAAUCCUUCAGGGUCAAAGAGUAACAUUACAGGAUGCGAACCUGAUGGUGCCCCUGUAAUAGUUUUCUAUUGUUGUGUAACAAAUUAUCAUGAAUGUGGCCUAAAACAACACCCGUUACUAGCUCACAGAUUCUGUGCAUCAGAUGUCUGGGUGCAGCAUGACUGGCUUCUCCACCUAGGGUCUUGCAGGGCUCCAAUCGAAGUGCCCUCUGGGGCUGUGUUCUCUCUGGGGCUCUAGAGAGGACCCUGCUCCCACACUCCUCCUGCUUGUGGGUGGAAUUCAGUUCCCUGGGGCUGCAGGACACAGGUCCCAUUUUCUCACUGGCUUUUGGUCUGGGGGCUGUCAGCUCCUAGAGCCCUCACACUCCUUCUGCAAAGCCAGCAGCAAGAACCUCCCUCAGACAAAUCCCUCCCAUGCUUCAACUCUAUUUCCAGGAAAAGCCCAGGUCUUUCUACAGACUCGCCUCAUUAGGUCAGGUCCACUCAGAAAAAAAAAAUCUCCUUGUCUUAAGGUUAGCUGUUUGGCGACCUUAAUUAUAUCUGGAAAAUUCCUUCACAGCAGCAACUAGAUUAGGGUUUGAUGAAAUAACUAGGGAAGGUGUGUGUACACUAAAAGGCAGAAAUCCUGGGUGCAUUUUAGUAUUCUGCUUACUGGACCCAAUUACUGGCAACCUUCCGUGCCCCGAGUGUGUCCAGGCUCCUCGGCCGGUUGUGUGGUCAUAUUCUUUCCUUAAAAUCCCUUGCAUUCCUUUCUGUUACACUGACCCUCAGCGCCUCAGAACUCACAAAGUAGUAUCCUGAUGGGUCAUUCUGCUGUUUGAUUCUGCCACCAAAAUACCUGAAAACAUACUCAGGAUUAGCCCUUGCCUAUUAACAGUGCCCUAGAACAAACCAAGUCUCCUCGGGGUUCAAAUCCAAGUCCAAGUUCAAAACUAUCCACCCAACUGUAGAAAACUUCCAGACUUGUAGGAGCCAACGUUUGGCCAUGAAUGGAAAAAGAAUGACACUAGACCCCUAUUUCAGCAGCUGUGGAUGAAUACUGUUUUUGAGCUACACAGAGUGGGAUAAAAUGAAGAGGGAACUGGGUGGGGUGCUUGUUAAAAGGGAGCCCCCACUGAAUAAACAAGCAGCAGAAUCUUCACUGCUUCAUUAGCAGGACCAUUAUUGUAAAAGAUGCUGUUUUUAAACCUGCACUUGCUGAUCCUUCAUAUUUGGUUGACUUAUAAAAGCAAUCAAGCAGUGGAAGUUGUGCUUAGAAUUCCACAAAAGCACAUGCAUCUGCAGGACAUUAAUGAAACACAAAGUGCACCUGUGGGUUCAUCAGCGUAAAUAAAAUGCUGAGCCCCAGAGCCAAGGGCCUAGAAGCACAGAGGGUGAAGACUGAGGCUCCCUCAAGGGAUUGAAGGAGUUGUUGCUUAACUAAGAUUUCUUUCACUUUUCUGUCAUUCCCCCAACAUCCCGAAAGCUCAAAGAGAAGGCGGCUUCGCCUGGUAUCUCAUAAAGGCAGAGUGGUGGAGGGCACGGGAACACAUAGCAGCCACCGGCAAGUCUUGUGAAAAUUCCAGGCACUUUUCCUGGACAAGAAACAUGUUUGUGGCAAAGUCUGGGCAAAAAAAAAAAAA